rnacentral:rRNA from 1 species
AUUGAACGUUCGCGGCGCGCCUAACACAUGCAAGUCGAGCGAGAAAGGGCUUCGGCCCCGGUACAACGGCGCACGAAUGAGUAACACGUAGGCAAUCUGCCCCUGAGUGGGGGAUAACCUUCCGAAAGGAGGGCUAAUACCGCAUGAGACCACGACCCCGCGAGGGGAUGAGGUCAAAGCCGACCACUUCAUGAAAGCUGGCGCUUGGGGAUGAGCCUGCGGCCCAUCAGCUAGUUGGUAGGGUAAUGGCCUACCAAGGCAUAGACGGGUAGCUGGUGUGAGAGGAGGAUCAGCCACACUGGAACUGGGACACGGUCCAGACUCCUGCGGGAGGCAGCAGUGGGGAAUCUUGCGCAAUGGGCGAAAACCUGACGCAGCGACGCCGCGUGAGUGAUGAAGGCCUUCGGGUUGUAAAGCUCUGUGGAGGGAGACGAAUAAGGCAUAACUAACAUCCAUGUUGAUGACGGUAUCCCUUUAGCAAGCACCGGCUAACUCUGUGCCAGCCGCCGCCGUAAAAC